CUACGAUCCUACCCCAAAUACGAUCCGGAUCAUUUUUCAUACCUAGGAUUAUACGAUCCUACGAUAAGGAUCGCGAUUUUGACAACCAUGAAAUUUACGAGAUAAACCAUAAAAUCUCGAAAACUUAAAAAUUGUUUUGUUUUGGAUAAUAUACCUGAAUAACUUUUUGUUUACAUUAAAAAAAAAAUCAUAAUAAAUUAAAAAAUAAAAAAAAAAUAAGUAAAACCGAUAAAACCGUAAACACUGUGUUCGAUUUGUCCUGACAAGUAAAAACAAAAAAAAAGACAGGAAAUCUCCCCAAUUUCCAAAAUUCCACCGGCAUUAGGGUUCCGAUUUGAACAAUUUCAACAAGGGAUCGAACCUUUUCUUACAGUGUUGAUCAUGUGUAGAUUGGUUGCUAGUGAAGACACAUCAGCUGGUGAAUUAGAGCAUCAUCAAAGCACUGUAAAUGGAACUCGCCGCAUGCACCCACAAAUUCAAGCACAAAUUGCACGUUUGGAAGCAAGGAUAAGUAGGGUUGAAGCUCGGAUGGAAAGGCUUGAAGUUAGUGUUUUAUAUCUUCAAAGGCGAAUGUACAUAUAUGGCUUUGUCUGUCUCAUGUCUGUUUUGUAUGCUAUAUAUAAAUGAGUUUUAGUAAUUAGUAUAUUGUUGUAUUGUACAACUGUAGUGGUGUCAUGUUGUACUGUCUGACAAACAAAAAUUAUCAAGAUUGAUAAAUUAUUAGUGUUAUUUUAGAAAACUUGUGACUCUUGUUUUGAGUCUGUGUUUGUUCUUACUUUAGCUAUAAAAGAAAAAUAA